rfam:Columba livia unplaced genomic scaffold scaffold274, whole genome shotgun sequence.
UAAAUGGUUUUGUUUAAAACCAAAACACUUUUAAAUAGAAUUAUUGU